rnacentral:rRNA from 1 species
UGGGGGAUAUUGCACAAUGGAGGAAACUCUGAUGCAGCAACGCCGCGUGAAGGAUGAAGGUCUUCGGAUUGUAAACUUUUGUACUUGGGGACGAUAAUGACGGUACCCAAGCAGCAAGCUCCGGCUAACUACGUGCCAGCAGCCGCGGUAAUACGUAGGGAGCAAGCGUUGUCCGGAUUUACUGGGUGUAAAGGGUGCGUAGGCGGAUGUUUAAGUGAGAUGUGAAAUACCCGGGCUUAACUUGGGUGCUGCAUUUCAAACUGGAUAUCUAGAGUGCAGGAGAGGAGAAUGGAAUUCCUAGUGUAGCGGUGAAAUGCGUAGAGAUUAGGAAGAACACCAGUGGCGAAGGCGAUUCUCUGGACUGUAACUGACGCUGAGGCACGAAAGCGUGGGUAGCAAACAGGAUUAGAUACCCUGGUAGUCCACGCCGUAAACGAUGAGUACUAGGUGUAGGAGGUAUCGACCCCUUCUGUGCCGCA